rnacentral:rRNA from 1 species
UUGAACGCUGGCGGCAGGCCUAACACAUGCAAGUCGAGCGGUAGCACAGAGAGCUUGCUCUCGGGUGACGAGCGGCGGACGGGUGAGUAAUGUCUGGGAAACUGCCUGAUGGAGGGGGAUAACUACUGGAAACGGUAGCUAAUACCGCAUAAUGUCGCAAGACCAAAGUGGGGGACCUUCGGGCCUCAUGCCAUCAGAUGUGCCCAGAUGGGAUUAGCUAGUAGGUGGGGUAACGGCUCACCUAGGCGACGAUCCCUAGCUGGUCUGAGAGGAUGACCAGCCACACUGGAACUGAGACACGGUCCAGACUCCUACGGGAGGCAGCAGUGGGGAAUAUUGCACAAUGGGCGCAAGCCUGAUGCAGCCAUGCCGCGUGUGUGAAGAAGGCCUUCGGGUUGUAAAGCACUUUCAGCGGGGAGGAAGGCGGUGAGGUUAAUAACCUCAUCGAUUGACGUUACCCGCAGAAGAAGCACCGGCUAACUCCGUGCCAGCAGCCGCGGUAAUACGGAGGGUGCAAGCGUUAAUCGGAAUUACUGGGCGUAAAGCGCACGCAGGCGGUCUGUCAAGUCGGAUGUGAAAUCCCCGGGCUCAACCUGGGAACUGCAUUCGAAACUGGCAGGCUAGAGUCUUGUAGAGGGGGGUAGAAUUCCAGGUGUAGCGGUGAAAUGCGUAGAGAUCUGGAGGAAUACCGGUGGCGAAGGCGGCCCCCUGGACAAAGACUGACGCUCAGGUGCGAAAGCGUGGGGAGCAAACAGGAUUAGAUACCCUGGUAGUCCACGCCGUAAACGAUGUCGAUUUGGAGGUUGUGCCCUUGAGGCGUGGCUUCCGGAGCUAACGCGUUAAAUCGACCGCCUGGGGAGUACGGCCGCAAGGUUAAAACUCAAAUGAAUUGACGGGGGCCCGCACAAGCGGUGGAGCAUGUGGUUUAAUUCGAUGCAACGCGAAGAACCUUACCUGGUCUUGACAUCCACAGAACUUUCCAGAGAUGGAUUGGUGCCUUCGGGAACUGUGAGACAGGUGCUGCAUGGCUGUCGUCAGCUCGUGUUGUGAAAUGUUGGGUUAAGUCCCGCAACGAGCGCAACCCUUAUCCUUUGUUGCCAGCGGUUAGGCCGGGAACUCAAAGGAGACUGCCAGUGAUAAACUGGAGGAAGGUGGGGAUGACGUCAAGUCAUCAUGGCCCUUACGACCAGGGCUACACACGUGCUACAAUGGCAUAUACAAAGAGAAGCGACCUCGCGAGAGCAAGCGGACCUCAUAAAGUAUGUCGUAGUCCGGAUUGGAGUCUGCAACUCGACUCCAUGAAGUCGGAAUCGCUAGUAAUCGUAGAUCAGAAUGCUACGGUGAAUACGUUCCCGGGCCUUGUACGCACCGCCCGUCACACCAUGGGAGUGGGUUGCAAAAGAAGUAGGUAGCUUAACCUUCGGGAGGGCGCUUACCACUUUGUGAUUCAUGACUGGGGUG